GCGGGCAUCCACCACCACGCCUGGUUUUACGUCGUGCUGGGGUGGAACCCAGGGCUUGGUGCAUUCUGUUUGUUAGUUCAGCGACAUCUCCAACCCCGUCCUUACAUGCAGUAGAGGGACAGAGCUCACUGCUGGCCAGCCUGCUGAGGCUAUCUGGAUUCAGUUGCCAGAAGUUACUUUGACUCUUUCAACCCUGAGAUGGAUUCCAGAUCUGCAGAAGCAAUAAGUACUGGUUUGGUUGGUUUGAUGCACAAAGGAUCCUGGACUCAGGAGGCAGAGGCAGAAGGAUCUCUGUGAGUCUGAAGCCAUCGUGAUCUCUAGGACAGACAUUUGCAUCUUGAAGAGGCUGGAGUCAUCAGUCCCAAGGCCACUGUGUACUUGGUCUGUAGCAUACUGGAGAUAUCCUGUGAUCCCUUUGUGCAACUGAUGAGCUUCCUGCUGACUUCAUCCCAUUUUAUGAUAGCUUUACGUCUAUCCCAUCCUCCCCUGUAAACUGUAAAUAAGACGUCGUACUUCUUAUAAACUUGAUCAGCACAAGCUGUCAGCCUAGGCAAGACCUUCUAAUUCCAACUUUCAUAUCUUUUUAUUUUCUCAUCUCUGGUCCUCUCCCUCAGGACCCCGGCACUGAAAGAAUGGCCUGCUGGCCCAGGUCACAUGGCAGAAACAUAUUCAGCUACAACAAGUUUCACAACACAUUGUUCGGUCUCAUUAUCAAGCGUGGCAUUCUAGUUUCAGUUCUACACAGCUUAUUUCCUGAUAGUUUCCUUUCACAACCUACAGUGGAAAAAAUAAUCAGUCUCUUCAGUUUGAAGAGGGCUGGGGCAAGCUCAUAAUAUCUAAGUGGAAAAGGGAACAAGGACUUAAUGUACCUGAGUUUUCGAGGAACCUUGAAAAUAAUGCUAGUGUUAUUGAGGAUGGAUUAGGCUUAAGGAAUUAGGAUUGAUUUACUUGCACAUACGUAUAUGUUACCAGAGCUAGAAUCCCGUCACACUAGGCAAGUGUAUGCCACUGAACUAUGUUGUAUAGUUUUGAGACAGAGGCUUGGAUAACUAGCCUCAAACUUGGUGUUCUCCUAUCUUAGCCUCCCAAGUGCUAUGAUUACAGGAGUGCACCACCCGUCUUGGGCUGGGUUGAUUUUUUUUUUAAAGUUUUAUUGCAUUUAUUGUAUUUGCAUGCUUGCAUGUGCAUGAGUGCCAUGAUAUGCAAAUGGGAGUCAGAGGGCAAUCCGUGGGAACUGGUUCUCUCUUUCCACCAUGUGGGUUCUGUGAGUUGAACUCAGGUCAUCCAGUUUAGAGGCAAGUGCCUUAGCUGGUGGAACCAUCUUGCUGCCUCAAAUUUGUUUGUUGUUUGUUUGCUUGUUUUUUGGUUUGGGGUUUGGUUUCUGUUUGUUUUUUUUUCUUUUUUCUUUUCUUUUUUUCUUUCUUUUCUUCUUUUUCUUUUUUCUUUUGAAGCAGGAUCUCAUGCAUCCCAGGCUGGCCUUGAACUCUCCUGCUUCCACUUCUAUGAUGUUGGAACUACAGGUAUGUGCCAGCAUACCCUGUUAACAUGGUGCUGUGUAUAAAACCCAGGAUCCUGUCCAUGCUAGGCAAGCACUAUACCGACCGAGACAGCCCCCAGUCCCCAGGUUGAUUUUUUUUUUUCAGUGUUAAGAGCUGAGUGAAAUCAGAGUAGUAUUCCUGCCUUCCCUUAUUCAGUAUCCCCAAAUGUCUCAUGCCCACGACUUAUACUCUUUAAAGUAGAACUGAUUUGUUUUCCCUCAUCCCGUUUUUGUGUGUCUGUCCAGCAGACACCCCCGCUAUAUGGCAGAGGCAGGUAAGUAAAAUGAAGAUGCUUUCAAAGGAGAGUCAGCCCAGAGGGGGCACGAGCAAGCCAUGGCGCUGUGCAUGGCAUAGGAGCACAAGGUUGUCAGUAAAGCUGGCCUAUGGCCGGGUGGCUUGGAUAUGAUUGGAGUAGCUCUCAAGGAUGCCCAGGUCAGAAUAUCAUCACCGUGUGAAACAUUGAGGGGGAAACUGAGUCUCCUUGUGGUGAGCUUCUGGGAAGCAAUUAGGGUUGGGUGGGGUCAUCAGGAGAGGCAUUUGUGCCUGGAUAGUGACGGCUCUGUAAGGAGAGGCUACACACACAGCACACACUCCUUAUUUCUUGCCAUGGGCUAUCCCAUGUCAGUAUCAAUGGCAUUUUGAGAUGCAGCUCUUAGACUUGGACUCAGAACCACGUGCCAAAACAAUUGUGUUUUUAUAGCUACUCUGACAAGCUGGGGAGGCAGCUCAGUAGGGUGAGCGCUUGUCUUAUGAGCAUGAGGCCCUAAGGCUGAUCCUCAGAACCCACAUUGAAAAAAAAAAGGUGUGCUGGUGUGUUGGAAGAAGAGGCCAAGAUGGGCAAAUCCCUGGGGCUGGGUGUCCAGCCAGCCUAACUUACUUGGUAAGCUCCAGGCCAGAGAGACCCUAGCUCAAAAAACCCACAGGCUUCAGGUGUGGGGGCUCACAUAUUUAGUCCUGGCUCUUGGGAGAUAGAGUCAGAUGAAUUCAAGGCCAGCCUGGUCUGAAUAGUGAGUACCAGGCUGGCCAGGGAUACACAGUGAGACCCUGUCUCCAAAACAAAACCAAAACAACACGCACAAACCCAAACAAAACAAGACAAUAAAAUAAAAAAUGUAUUGUAGCCGAGGAAUGACAUUCAAAAAUGUCCUCUGAGUGCCACAGGCACCUACACAAAAUUUGUGAGAUUGCACACACACACACACUUUCUCUCUCUCUCUUACACACACGAACACACUCACUAACUCACACAUCUGUAUUGUUACAGGAGGGCAAACCAGAUUGAUUUGAAUAAAUAAUAAAUAAAAUGAAGACAUUUUCUUGAGACCGUUUCAUUCCCAUGAAUCAGAGAUCUGCCCCCUUGAUUAUAGUUUGUGCUUCGGGAAGCCUCCAUCUCAGAGCCCAGCUUCUGUGAGCAAAGCUCCAGGUCUGCAGAAAGCUUGUCAACAAGACUGCAGGAUGAGCCACAUUUUAAGUCUGCCUUGGCCAGCAGGCCUGAGAGCACCUGGGUUCUGAAGGACUUGGAUCCAGAAAACAGGAGCCAGUUGGUACCAGGGGAAAUGUUUCCAGGAUGAAAGAAGAGUGACAGCCAGCCUUGGAACCUCCAUUGACCUAAACAGUUUGUGUAGCCAGAAGUUGGACACUGUGAAGUUCCCUUAAGAUACCUGCUGGCUGACUCAGGCAUUCAGCAGAGAGACUGGCAUUUCUAGCCAGUGGCCCACAGUGGGCAGGAAGGGAGGCAGCUGCGCCCACUUGUGCUGGGAUCUGCCCUGGAGAACCUCAGCCACAGAGCUCAAGAUGGAGUAGGCUCUGCAAGUGAACCAGCUGAUCUGCUGUGGUAAAGGGGUACAUAUGGGGCUCUGAGGCAUGGAGACAGAGCUUUGCGACCUGCUUUUUGGAUAACUUUGCAAACUGAGAAAAUUAACCUUGCCUUGGACUAUAAUUUUCCGAUCGUCAAAGGGAGAAAAUGGCGCCUGUGUGAAUCAGCCAGGGCACUUAAAAUGUACUGUAAGACUUGGAAAUGCCAUCUGACAUUCUCCCUUCAGCAAGUGAGAGGCGUUAAAUGGCCUGCCCAAAUUCAACCCAUGGCAGAGUCAGGCGUCUGGCUACGAGUGCUUCCUUUGGCUCUCGGCAAGCAGACAGGGUUUCUCUGUGUCGUCCCAGCUGUCCUGGAACUUGCUCUGUAGACCAGGCCGGCUUCAAACUCAGAGAUUCACCUGCUUUUACCUCUGGAGUGUUGGGACUAAAGGCAUGUACCACCACCUCCAGGCUUAUUUUUCUGCUCUUGACUGACAAUGAUGUGACUAGCUAUUAUAAACUGGAAUUGUGAGCUGAAAUAAACCCCCUUAUCCUCUAAGUUGCUUUUGUCAAGCAAUUUAAUGAGAACUACAGACAUGAAACUAGGCCAGAACCUGACUCACUCUUCCCUCAUCUCUGCCUGUGCAGCUUUCCAUGGUGGGCUGAGGAGAAGGCUGAGGGUCCUGCAAGUCAGAGGAGGAUACGGUGCUUGGAGUGGGGUGGGGGCUAGUGGUUUUCAGAUGGCCAAGAUGAUCCUGGAGAUGAAGCCUCAGUGGUGGGAGGAGCAGCCGGGGAUGACAAGAUGGAGGGACACCCCAGGACAUUAGACAAAGACUGUGCAUCCUCCAACCACCAGGUGGGCACUAUGGUCCUGAGGUAUUCUGGCUGAUCCAACAGUGUCUCUGGGGACUAGUGUGGCCAGCAACCUUUCCCUGACAGUUUUGUCUAUGAGAAUAACUCCGGUGAUCGCCUUCUUAGGUGGUCGGGGUACUUGUGAAAAGUACCUAGUGAACUGCGGUCAACUAAAGAGGGCAUGGAAGAAGCAGAGAAGGAGAAAGAACAGGGAGUGUGUGCUGGCUGGUUUUUAUGUCAGCUUGACACAACUCUAGUCUUUGGAGAGGAGGAAGCCUCAAUUGAGAAAAUGCCUCCAUAAGAUCUGACUGUAGGGCCUAUUUAAAAUGAGUGAUCAGUGGGGGAGUGCCCAGCCCACUGUGGGUGGUCCCAUCCCUGGGCUGGUGGGUGCUGUAA